GAUUAAGUAUGAAGAUCUAUUAUAGUUGAUUAAGUAUGAAGAUCUAUUAUAGUUGAUCGCAGAUCUAGUGUUGUUUAUCAGAAAUCCAAUCUUGUUUAUCGGAAAUCCAGAUCUAGUGUUGUUUUACCUGUAAUCCGCUCUAGUAAUCUGAGAUCCAUAGAUUUAUGGAUUUUUGUUUGAAAUCGAAAGAAUUACUAAUUUUUUUGUAUCGUCUUCUUUAAGUGAGUUAAUAUUCCUGUUUUCGUCGUAGCUGGGAAGUGGAAAUCUACGACAGAAAGCAAGUGGGAUUUUAUAAUAGAAAAUGAUUGCUUCGCAAGGAGCAUUUGUACAUGUGCUGAGAUGACUUUUACUGAAUUACAAAGUUAUAUAGCUUCAUUGUUUCACUUUGAUGCGAAGACCUGGAAACAAAACUUGAGUUAUUGGCUUCCAAAGCAGAGGUCAAUCUUUUCUGCACGGAAAAGGCCUCCAGUCUGUUUGAAUAACACCAUGGCGUUGAAGAGCUUCAUGAUGGUUAAGGAAAUGGAGCCACGUUUAAACUUGUGCCUCUCCUUUGAGGCCAUGCAGGAUGAUGAACCCUAGAAACAACUUGUUUGUGAGCUUGGGGAAAGUUCUAACAAUGGCAAAGACGACGCAACCAUCCUUGAAAAUGUACUUACUGAGUUCAGAAUUGUUAAGGAUAAUGACUGCACCAACCAACUAGAACUUGAUCUUAUGUAAUAGGUAAGCUCCAAAAGGCCACUUAUUACUAGAACUAUCAUAGAUGAGCUUAAGUAUUUAAGAAGCGAACAUGUAGGCUCAUAGAAGGGCUCGAGUUUAGAUACUUAGGUGAACCAAUCAAACCUGAUAUUAAUGCAUGUUUAUGAUUAGAGAUUUGUGGGCUAGCGUCGUAAUCCUUAGUUAUUAGGCAUAGUUAGUAAUGUGGACUAGUGUUGGUUGCUUUACUUUAGUGAUCUGAGUUCUAGAACGGUUCGAUAACAAUCCUAAUCAUAAUUAAAUCUACUAGUUAUCUAAUUUUUGAGAAUAUCUCUAGACUUGACGCUUUUCUC
rnacentral:sRNA from 1 species